rnacentral:rRNA from 1 species
GGGUCAGUAGAUUGGUCGUGCCACUGGUAUGUACUGGUCUUACUGGCUCCUCCUUCCUGAUGAACCGUAAUGCCAUUAAUUUGGUGUUGCGGGGAGACUGGACUGUUACUUUGAAAAAAUUAGAGUGUUUAAAGCAAGCUUUGGCUUGAAUACAUUAGCAUGGAAUAAUGGAAUAGGACGUUCGAUCUUAUUUUGUUGGUUUCUAGGAUUGACGUA